AAGACUAUACUUCACGGGAUCAUUUCUGUAGUCAGUCUUCACUUUCUAUCGUGCUAAACGAUAACACACUAUCCCGCGUUGAUGAGGGAAAUCGUUCUAUUCGGCAGCGUGAGGUUAUGUGCAGAUGCCUUGUUUGGGUGACGACACUUCGGUGUUGUUGCUUGGGGCUCUGUACUUCGAUGAUCGCUCGGUAACACGGAUAGAACGAAUUCUGAGUGGU